GUGAAUCAUCGAAUCUUUGAACGCAUAUUGCACUCUCUGGUAUUCCGGAGAGUAUGCCUGUUUGAGGGUAAUUAAAAAGAAUCUUUAACCAAUUUUUUUUGGUUAAAGGAAUGAUCUUUCCGCGUUUAUAGCGGUAGCUUGAAAUAAAUGGUCAAAUUCCAUUUUUUUCGAGACGCGCAAUAAUAUUAUUUUCGG
rnacentral:misc_RNA from 1 species